rnacentral:rRNA from 1 species
AGAGUUUGAUCCUGGCUCAAGAUGAACGCUGGCGGCGUGCCUAACACAUGCAAGUCGAACGGAACUUUUACGGAUUGAGACUUCGGUUGAUUGAGGUUUAAGUUUAGUGGCGGACGGGUGAGUAACGCGUGAGUAACCUGCCUUUCACAGGGGGAUAACGUUUGGAAACGAACGCUAAUACCGCAUAACAUAGCGAAACCGCAUGAUUUUGCUAUCAAAGAUUUUAUCGGUGAAAGAUGGACUCGCGUCCGAUUAGGUAGUUGGUGAGGUAACGGCCCACCAAGCCGACGAUCGGUAGCCGGACUGAGAGGUUGAACGGCCACAUUGGGACUGAGACACGGCCCAGACUCCUACGGGAGGCAGCAGUGGGGAAUAUUGCACAAUGGGCGCAAGCCUGAUGCAGCAACGCCGCGUGAGGGAAGACGGUUUUCGGAUUGUAAACCUCUGUCUUUGGUGACGAAGAAGUGACGGUAGCCAAGGAGGAAGCCACGGCUAACUACGUGCAGCAGCCGCGGUAAUACGUAGGUGGCAAGCGUUAUCCGGAAUUACUGGGUGUAAAGGGAGCGCAGGCGGGACAGCAAGUCAGCGGUGAAAUUUAUAGGCUCAACCUGUAAACUGCCGUUGAAACUGUUGUUCUUGAGUGGAGUAGAGGCAGGCGGAAUUCCGAGUGUAGCGGUGAAAUGCGUAGAUAUUCGGAGGAACACCAGUGGCGAAGGCGGCCUGCUGGGCUCUAACUGACGCUGAGGCUCGAAAGUGUGGGGAGCAAACAGGAUUAGAUACCCUGGUAGUCCACACUGUAAACGAUCAUUAAGAGGUGUGGGGGGUCUGACCCCCUCCGUGCCGCAGUUAACGCCAAUAAGCAAUCCACCUUGGGAGAAGGCCC